rnacentral:rRNA from 1 species
UGGGGAAUAUUGCACAAUGGGCGGAAGCCUGAUGCAGCAACGCCGCGUGCGGGAUGACGGCCUUCGGGUUGUAAACCGCUUUCGCCUGUGACGAAGCGUGAGUGACGGUAAUGGGUAAAGAAGCACCGGCUAACUACGUGCCAGCAGCCGCGGUGAUACGUAGGGUGCGAGCGUUGUCCGGAUUUAUUGGGCGUAAAGGGCUCGUAGGUGGUUGAUCGCGUCGGAAGUGUAAUCUUGGGGCUUAACCCUGAGCGUGCUUUCGAUACGGGUUGACUUGAGGAAGGUAGGGGAGAAUGGAAUUCCUGGUGGAGCGGUGGAACGCGCAGAUAUCAGGAGGAACACCAGUGGCGAAGGCGGUUCUCUGGGCCUUUCCUGACGCUGAGGAGCGAAAGCGUGGGGAGCGAACA